rnacentral:tRNA from 1 species
GGCGUAGUUCAACGGUAGAACGGUGGUCUCCAAAACCAUUAAUGCGGGUUCGAUUCCUGCCGCCC